GAUGAACGCUGGCGGCGUGCUUAACACAUGCGAGUCGAACGGAAAGACGCUGCGUUUGUGGGGUUCUCGAGUGGCGAACGGGUGAGUAACACGUGAGUAACCUGCCCUUGACUUUGGGAGAACUUCAGGAAACAGGGGCUAAUACCGGAUAGGAGCUCCUGCUGCAUGGUGGGGGUUGGAAAGUUUCGGCGGUUGGGGAUGGACUGGCGGCUUAUCAGCUUGUUGGUGGGGUAGUGGCUUACCAAGGCUUUGACGGGUAGGCGGCCUGAGAGGGUGACCGGCCACAUUGGGACUAAGGUACGGCCCAGACUGGUACGGGAGGCAGCAGUGGGGAAUCUUGCAGAAUGGGCGGAAGCCUGAUGCAGAAACGCCGCGUGCGGGAUGACGGCCUUCGGGUUGUAAACAGCUUUCGAAUGUGACGAAGCGUGAGUGACGGUAAUGGAUAAAGAAGCAACGGCUAACUAUGUG
rnacentral:rRNA from 1 species